AACGGUUGAAAAUAUCAAAAGAAAAACAAAUUACUAUUCCAUUGCAUUUCUUCUAAAAUUCUGGAGACUUUCUAUUUCUGAUUGAUCUGGGUGUAGAAAUGAAGUGAAUCUAAGUCUAGAAGUCUGAAUUUGAUUUAUGUGGAGUUUGGUUUGAGGUCUGGUUGGGUUUAGCUGGUCAAGCACUGUUACGUUGCUGCUAUGUUACUUUGCUGCUGCUGACCUUCUCUUGCUUUUCCAGGUAUAUGACCCAGUAACUCUUUGAUUGUGAAGUCUUUAAUGUGAAGAAUGAGAUAAGAAGCAGAAGUUUCAAUGAAUGGCA
rnacentral:lncRNA from 1 species